rnacentral:lncRNA from 1 species
ACUCAGCAAGGACCCCAACUUGGGCCACCCAGCUUUGCCCAUGUACUGGUAGCCCCACACAAUACAGACUGGCCACUUCUGGAGGUCACCAAGAAGAUGGGUCGUGGCUCCAUGAAGCAACUCUUGAGAGCUGACUACUUACAGUACUGGACCAUGGCCUACCAGGUCUCUCAGAGGUCAUUCCAUGUUCUGGGAACAUGCUUCAAUCCUCUGGUCCCAGGAUUUUUCAGGAGCAUCCGAGCACUAGCCAGUGUAAUGGUACUGAAAUGAACAUCUGUUCCUUGUGAGGUGGAGUUGUGUAGUGCCUUCAGCAUGCUGAGAAGGUGGCUGGCUCUUACUGUUCUACACAAAAUAAACAGACUUCUGGAAGAAGUAAGCACUUUGGUUUUUUUAAAAAAAAAUUUUAGUUGUAGAUGGACACAUUUUUU